AAAUAAGAUCUCAUCUCUAAGUUAGAGUAAACUGUCAAGACUUAAAACUUACUUACUUUACCUUUCACCAUGGGACUUGUAACCGUUACUUCUGUCUGGAGUAGUUAAAAGAUAGAACAGUCUAGUCAAGUGCCAUGUCUCUUAUUCUUGAUCAGCCAUAGCUCUGGAGUUUUUGCAGAUUUUCAAAUAAAACUCAGAGAUUCCUUGUAUGAUUCUCUCAAAUCUCUCUUUUGUGGUAUUUCUGGAUCCUUACCAAGGCAGUGAUGGUAUAUGCCUUCUCUCAAAAUAUGUGGUAUUUGUGGUAUAAAGCAUAGUGACAUUGCCUUCUCUCUCACCCUACUCUAAUAAGGCUUUAAUAUCUGGAGCUCAUAGGUGGGAGAUAAAAUAUACAUACUCACAAGACAUUUAUUGUAUAGUCAAACCAUGGAUCCAAAGAAACAAAUCAAUAAGUCAAAUCAAGAUGCGCAUGUGUGGCGAAUGAAUGGUGUAUGGUGAUGAUGGUGAUAACAAUGGUGAAAGUCUAAUUCUACUUUGCUCUUUGAGGGGAUACAUACCUUCCUUGCUUUUAAAAAUUUUAUGAUGAGAAUGAGAUGCUCUAUAUUUUUCUUUUCUCUCAGGUGGGUAUCUUGUACACCUAAUUCUACUGUCGGACACUUGUCCAUUUUUACCUCUCGUCUCACUUUUUCUUUUCUUUCGAGGUUCCGGGCACUUGCCCCUUUUUAUUUCCUCGUAUCUUUUCUUCUUUUUUUAGAGCACUCAUCUCUUGAGAUAAUAUAGCAAGUGGUAGUAAUAAGAUAUCUUGAGCAUUUAUUUCACAAGGAAAAACAGAAAUAUUUUUGGCUAUUCUCUCCCGGAUUAGGAGUAGAAUAUUUUUUGGGUGGUUCUGGAGAUAGAAAUCGGUGGAUAUAUGUGGAUGGUACUUUCGGAGUAGAAGUAGCAUAUAUGAGUGAACGUGCAAGUGAAAUCUUGAUUUAACCACAUGACAAGCUCCUAAGGGUCUACACAGCUUGACCACACUCAAUGCUCAUAAGCAGUAAAAACUAAAUAUGUGGCUCAAAGUCUACCAAGCAUGUAUAUAUGGAUGUGGUAGGAAUUUAAAACUCUCAUCAUAUAGGAACUCAUCAUGCAACAUUUUAAAGAUUUUCAAAGAUAUAAUUCUCCAGAAUUCUAGCAUCUCUAGGAACAGAUAAACAGCAGCUCAACCUUCCCAUAUCGUAUCCGUUAACAACUUAGACUUUAGAUCAAGUCUUCAUCCCACAAGUUUAGGUCUAGAACAAGCUUUAAAUUAUAAUAGUUAUAUCUAAACUUGAGAGAGAACUUAAAAUGUGCAAAUUAGGCAGAGCAACUAUUCAUCAUAUCCAUGCUAGAGUUUUAUUAUUAAGAUACAGAUUACCAUAGCUACUUUAUUUAUUUAUUAAACACACUAAGCAAAAGGUAUAUAUAUAUAAGCCUAAAAUCUUUAUUUGGUUUUCCAUAGUUAUGUAUAUUUAAUAUAGUAAAAGUAUAAAGAUAGAUAGAAAUACUUAUCGGGAUAAAUGGGGGUGCUCUCCCCUAAGCUGAAUUUUGACGUAAUUUCUUUUGAUGUAGCUAGCAGGUGGCAGAGGUGUAUUUGAAAGUCGGCAGUAUUCUGACAGCGAUUAGAAUGUCCUCCGUCUGCUAGUCUUCUUGAUUCUUAAAUUCUGUGGAGCUCAAAUAGACAACAAAGCUUGUGGAACCGAUUAAGUGUUAGCAUAAAUAUCUAGCCUUUAUCAUGUUGAGACUCCUUAAUAAUUAUUAUUCCCUAUUUUUAUAUUUUUAUUUUAUAAAGCACAAAUGAAAUAUUUAUUUUAUUUUUUUAUGCCACCACAGUGAAUGUACUUAUGGGUGUUAUGCCACUCGUAUACUCACAUGAGGCUUACUGUUUUCACAUUUUUAUUUUCUUUUUAGGAUAGCAUGAAUAUGAUUAACUAAGUAGACUAUUUUAAAAUAAUUGAAAGGGAAAGGAUAACUACCAAGUUUACCUCUUGGCAAGGCGUUCGGUGUUUUUAAGUCCUCCGAACGGGACUCUUUAUUUUCUCAAUUGUCCUGAGGUUCGUUGGGUGGCGUAGUCGGUACUUCCGGCAGCGCCUCCUCUUCAUGUAUAGUUAUCUUCUCUUUCCAUACCUGACUCGGUGCUUCAGUCUCCUCUGGAUAAUUCUAUUUAAACUCUAUGUCUUCUGACCUUACAACUUCUCCUUCGUAGUCUGCCCAUCCGUCCUUGAUGAUUUGCCUCCUCUGAUUGCGGUUGCGUCGUUUUCUGACCUGCUUAGAUUCUUCAAAGAUGUAGUUAGGGUCAGUAAAAUAACGGCAUACCUUCUCUGAGGGGAAGUGCAUAUGGACUUCUCCAGUUCCAAUGUAGAUGAUUGCUUUAACGAUGCUGAGGAACGGACUUCCAAGGAUGAUGGGUGGAUCGUACUUGUCUUCUCCCAUGUCAAUAACCUGAAAGUCUGUGUAGACAAAAUAAUCGUCUGUUUUGACAGGGACAUCAGUUACUAUUCCAUUAACUUCUCAAAAUGUCUGAUCUGCCAUCUGGAGUUGAAUGUAUGUUGGUUUUAGGGGCAUGGUUCCGAACAAGAGUUGAUAGGUGAUUGCGGCCAUUAUGUUGACGCCCGAUCCGGUGUCGCAAGUCGUCUUGUAGAAGCUGUAUCCAUUUAUGGAGCAGUAGAUGCUUAGCAUUCCUGGGUCGUCCUUCUUGGUCAAAAACGGUGACUUAAGUUGAUGAUCUUGGCCUCUAUGAACUGCAGUGACCAUCUUAGCCGACUCAGUCCACACUUGCUUGUUCCUGUUCCUCCUGCUGGUCGUCUUCCUUGAUUCACGUCUGGAUUGAUCUGGGAUUUGUGUAGUCUUGUUCUUGAAGGAAAAUGUCUCUUUCCUCCCUUUGAUGUAGAAACUGAUCUUGGCAGCACUAGCGUAGAUGACAGCUCCCGAGGUGUUCAAGAAUGGCCUCCCUAAGAUGAUGGGUGCUCUCUCAUCAUUAUCGGUCUCUAUCACCACGAAGUCUGCUGUGGCAUACAAGGUACCAACUCUGACACAAAGGUUCUUCAAUAUUCCUUUUGGGAAAGUUAAUGCCUGAUCUGCAAACUGCAAUCACAUGGUUGUUUCUAAUAAAGGAUAUGUAAAGAAUUUUUCAUAGAGUACCCUGGGUAUAAUGUUGACACUGGAGCCAAAGUCACAGAGUGCUUCUGAGACGUCCACCAUGCCGAUGGAGAUCGGGAUGACGGGGCGUCCUGGAUCACCUCUCUUGAUCGGCAGAAGGUCAGUAGUAAAUUCAGUGACGGGGUUACUCCAAUUACCUGCAUCAAACAUGUCUACAAGAUUUGCAGAUUCUAAUCCUUCCGGUUGUGAUGGUAUACCGGGGUUAGUAGCAGGAACAGCAGCAGCUAUUUGAUUUAACUGAGAUUCAAUCAUUUUAUUAAAGCUAAUUUGAUUCUUGAGGGCAGUAGAGAAAUUAUCCAUUCUAUUAUUUAUAUUUUCUAGCAUUUUAUCAUUUGAUGCCAAUUUCUUAGACAGGUUAUCCAUUAGCUUUCCUUGAUUAGACACUAACUCUCUCAGAGGUGGAAAAUUAUUAUUAUUGUUGUAAGAACUGUUACCUUGAUAAUUACCUGAGUAGUUAGGCCUCUAUUGAUUCCAACCUUGAUUUUGUUGAGGACGGUUGUAGUAGUAGUUGUUGUUAUUGUUGAUGUAGUUCACAUCCUCAAGUAUCUCAGGGCAAUGAUUGCCUGAGUGUCCAGAUCUCCACACUCCUCACAAGUCAUGUGAGAGUCGUAGAUGUGCAUAACUUCCUUCUUAUCUCCAGCUCUAUCAUCGAGCUUCUUCAUGAGCAGGUCUAGCUCUGCAGACAGCAUGUCUACCUCCUUCAGCUGAUGCAUACCUCCACCUCUCUUGCGUGUUUGGGUCCUUUCUUCAUUCCAACUUUGGUUGGACGCCAUCUUCUCCACAAGAGCUAUGGCUUGUGAUAUGGUAAGUGAUAAGAAUGCUCCUCCAGCUGCAGCAUCCAUGGUCUCUCGGGCACUGUUCCCGAGCCCAUGAUAAAACGUCUGCAUCAAUAGCCAACUCUCCAUUCCAUGAUGGGGACAUUCUAGGAUGUAGUCUUGAAAGCGCUCCCAUGCUUAUGGAACAAAUUCAUCAUUUUGUUGCUGAAACUUGUAAUCUUCCCACAGAGAGCAUUGGUCUUGCCCAUGGGAAAGAAUUUAGCCAAGAAGUUUGUUGAGCAGAGUGCCCAUGUAGUAUUCUUCUCCUUUGUAGCGUAAAACCACUGCUUCGCUCUCCCUAACAGUGAGAAUGGGAAGAGGCGAAGUAGUAUAGCAUCUCUGGAAACUCCUGAUAUGGUAAAUGUGUUGCAUAUCUCCAGAAAGUGUUGGACAUGAGCAAUAGCAUCUUCGUGUGCCUUCCCACAGAACUGGUUGGAUUGCACCAUGUUGAUAAGUCCAGGCUUGAGCUCAAAGUUGCCAUCGAUCUCUGCAGCAGGUCCAGUGCGGAUGUUGUCCAUAGUGGGAGCUGAGAACUCACGGAUUGAUUUGUUCGCCAUGGCUUCGAACUCUGAAGACAAGUUCCGGUGAUCUUCUUGAUUGGAUGAAGCUUCUUGCUGAAAUGUUGAUGAUCUCUUCUUGAGCUUGGCUCUAGUUCUUCUGAAUAACGCUUCGGGAUUGUCAACAAAAUUUCCUGUAAGAUGUCUUCUAUUCAUACAUUCCCCUACAUAAGAUAAAAUAGAAAAAUAUCGGGGUAAAACUGUAUAAAAGAAUUGAUAAGCUCAAUCAGAUUAGUGAUGCGAAUGAUAACUCAAAAUCCUUUAUUCCAUUCCUGAUUAGUAAUCAACCUUCCCCGGCAACGGCGCCAAAAAUGCUUGUUGGGUAUUCUUAACAUCACUACCAAAAGUAGACAGUUUUCUAAUUCUAGUAACGGUGCCAAAAAUGUCAAACCUAUCCCUCAUACCACUUAAGCCAUGUUGUCAUCCCCAGCAUGACAUGAGAGACGCGGUAUUGAAAAUAUGCAAUUGCUCUUCUAAAUAAAUAAUGAAUGGGAUCUGGAAGCGCACAGAUUAAUACCGAUGUAGCAUUUUAACCGGGAAGUAUUCCAGGCAUCGUUAUUUAUAUUUUUACCACUAGGAAGGGAUUAACAAUCAUCACUAUUGACUACAGAAUAGAAUAUGAGAUUGAGUAUCUAUCAUUGCAUGUAUAAUUGAGAACAUUUAUCUAACUCUUUCGUACAGGGUAAGUGUCACAUAAAAGAUAUAUGAAAUAAUGAAUAGUGACAAAGAUAAUUAAUCUGAUCAUAACUAGCCACAUAUUAAAUAUGAUAAGCACCUCAAUUAGAUACUCUAGAAAGUCAUUAGCAUGGAAUUAGAAUGAACUACAAGAAUAUUUCCUAAGUUAUUCUCAACUAUAUAGUCAAGCAUUAUCAUAGUUAGUGCAAGCAUACUUAGCAAUCAUUUCGAGACAAGACUACGCCCAUGCAUAGUGAUAUUAGCAAGGUAAAUGAAAAACAUAGCAAUCACUCCCCUGUAAUAAUAUUGCUCUGCCAGCCCAAUACACGAGAGGGGGACUAUAUAAGAAUCAAUGAAGCUGUCACUAUCACGAACUACCCCACGAUCUGGCAUAUUGGGUACAAUCGCAGAUAAAUACGGUAUAAGCACCACGCCUACACAAUAUCUAUCAUUUACCCAUGGAUCCGAUGGACAAACGCUAUACGAUCCUAAGCAUGUAUAUAGAUGCAAUCUAACUAAGCCAAGUACAUAACUAUGAUAAACUAAGAACAAUAUAAUCUUGAAUAUAAACAAGUAGAGCAAAGUCAUAAGCAAUAUAUUGAAGUAGAAUAAAGUCAUAUUCAUAAUAUUGAAGAACAAAGAUAAUUAGAAAGCAAUUAGAAGCACAAUUAGAGAAUUACCAAGAAUCCUCUUGACAGAUCCGGAAACCAAUCGAAGAUUGACUCCUUCUAGUUCUAAUCCUAUGUAGCUAUGCUAAUCUAGAUAUCUAAUUGAUGUGGUGGCUCUAAUCUUGAUCAGAUUCUUCUUCUCCCUUGAGGAACAAUGAAUUAGGGUUGAGAGGCUCUCUCCUCUAGGGGCCAGGGGGUCUGGUUUUAUAGUCCCUUCAAGUGAAUAUGGGCCGUUGGAUCAAACCGACAUUGAUUGAACUGUUAUCCUUGAUCCUUUAGGUCGGUGGAGAUCUCCCACGAAACAGAGUCCUGAUUGGACUCCAAGUCAGGGCAGGCGCCCAGGGAAGGAGGGCGGGCGCCCUGCCUCUGGCCCCGUUCGGCCUCCGCUUUCUUCCCGUGGCUUCUGGAGUCUUCUAGAUGUAAGAUAAUUAUGCGGCACGUUAAUAUCUCUAUGUAAUCUCGACGUGUGGGCCUUUCUUCUGUAUUUCCUGAUAACCCCCUGCAGAAAUAGACAAAUACCAAAAUUCGUGGAAUUCUGUCAGAUAAAACCCUAAGUCUAGAUGUUGAUUUCAUUUGGACCCUUUUCUUUGUUUGUUUGAUAAUUAAAUUUGAUACUUAAGGACCGUCAACAACCUCGCGGCCCUAACUCGUUAGACGAGGCCUAUGGAAGGCGUUAUAGUGUUCCCUGCCCGCUCACCUUGCCAGUGUUAGUGGGUCUUGCAAACCCCGGGCAUAUGGGUAACAUGACUUACGGGAAAAGUGCACACCUCUGCGCAGAGUUUGAUCAAACUGGUAUACUAGCCGUGCUCUCGGACAUGAGUGGCCUUGGACCCUUACAGAAUAGUUAGAUGUCGAAGAUUAUGGGGGAAUGACCUAUGGAAAUAUGACGCAUUGAUCGUGAUGAUUAAUGUGGUUUAACCGUGAUGGUGAUGGUGUUAGCCGUGAAGGUUAACGGUGUUAUUAUCAUGUACUCAUUUGGGCUAAUCGGGAGCUUAAGCAUAACUUAUGAUUAAAUAGGAUUAAAACAAUGACCAAUUAAAAUACUAACUGCAGUAGCCAGUGUCUGACCUUUUUGAGCCGCAUAAAAUCCUAUGUUAUACUUGCGGAGUACGAGAUGUACUCACGCUUGUCUCUAUAUUUCUUUUUGGACAAAAUCCCGGAUGGGUAACAGAUGACAGCUUCUACGAGGAGUUUCCGGAGGACUUCUAGGUUGGCGAUCCCCCAGUCGGUCGUCCCUGUGUUGGAGCUAACAAUUUAUAGAUAGUUAUGAGUUUUAUUUCCGCUUGCCCUACGUCUAGAUGUUGAUUUCAUUUGGAUCCUUUUCUUUAUUUAUUUGAUAAUUAAAUUUUAUACUUAAGGACCGUCAACAACCUCGCAGCCCUAACUGGUUAGACGAGGCCUAUGGAAGGCUUUAUAUUGUUCCCUGCCCGCUCACCUUGGCAGUGUUAGUGGGUCUUGCAAACCCCGGGCAUAUGGGUAACAUGACUUACGGGAAAAGUGCACACCUCUCUGCAGAGUUUGAUCAAACUGGUAUACUAGCCGUGCUCUCGGACAUGAGUGGCCUUGGACCCUUACGGAAUAGUUAGAUGUCGAUGAUUAUGGGGGAAUGACCUAUGGAAAUAUGAGGCAUUGAUCGUGAUGAUUAAUGUGGUUUAACCGUGAUGGUGAUGGUGUUAGCCGUGAAGGUUAACGGUGUUAUUAUCAUGUACUCAUUUGGGCUAAUCGGGAGCUUAAGCAUAACUUAUGAUUAAAUAGGAUUAAAACAAUGACCAAUUAAAAUACUAACUGCAGUAGCCAGUGUCUGACCUUUUUGAGGCGCAUAAAAUCCUAUGUUAUACUUGCGGAGUACGAGAUGUACUCACGCUUGUCUCUAUAUUUCUUUUUGGACAAAAUCCCGGAUGGGUAACAGAUGACAGCUUCUACGAGGAGUUUCCGGAGGACUUCUAGGUUGGCGAUCCCCCAGUCGGUCGUCCCUGUGUUGGAGCUAACAAUUUAUAGAUACUUAUGAGUUUUAUUUCCGCUUGUUGCAGACUUUGAUGUUCGUGUUGUAAUAAACGCUAUGUAAGACACUUGUGAUGAUACAUUUGUAAUCUGUCGACUUGUGUGUGCGACUAUUCCUGGGGCGCACAUGAGGUUUAUUGUACUCAAAUUUAUCCUUAAAUUUGGGUGACACAUAAACUUUGUAGAUCUCAAAAAGUUAUGAAACAUUGUAGUUGAUAACUUUUUGUUUUGAAAUCAUCUUAUCAUAAAAAAACUACAUUUGAAUUUGUUAAAUUUGAAAAUUCUUUGCCGAGUGUUUUUCUUUGACACUCGGCAAAGACUGUCAAAAAAAACACCCGGCAAAGAAAAUUUCAAAUUGAAUUUUGAAGCCCUAAACGAUUUCAAAUCAAAAAGUUUUUAACUACAAAGUUGUACAACUUCUCAAGAUCUACAACAUUUAUUAUGAUCAUUUCUUUAGUUGACAAAGCCAAAACAAAUUUAUUUACAAAUUUUACAUCUCUCUCUUAUAGUAUAUGAAACUACAAGACAGAUAUAUAAGAUUUUAGAAAAAUAUUAGAAUCACCAUGUGGGAUGAACAUAUGAUAAAAUAACCAAAAUAAACUAUGUAGAUCUUGAGAUGUUAUGAAAUUUUGUAUUUGGCAACUUUUUUAUUUGAGUUCAUCUUGUCAUGCAAAACCGCGUUUUUAAUUGAAAAUAUUAAAUUUUGAUUUUUUUAAACAACCUCGGAUGGAUGAACUCUCUAAAUAAACUUUGUAGAUCUCAAAAAGUUAUGAAACUUUAUAGUUGAUAACUUUUUGUUUUGAAAUCAUCUUGUCAGCAAAAACUACAUUUGAAUUUCUUAAAUUUGAAAAUUCUUUGCCGAGUGUUUUUCUUGUGUCAAAAAUAAAACACUCGGCAAAGAAAAUUCCAAAUCGAAUUUUGAAGCCCUAAACGAAUUUAAAUUAAAAAGUUUUUAACUACAAAGUUGUAUAACUUCUCAAGAUCUACAACAUUUAUUUUGAUCUUUUCUUUAUUUGACAAAGCCAAAACAAAUUUAUUUACAAAUUUUACAUCUCUCUCUUAUAGUACAUGAAACUACAAGACAGAUAUAUAAGAUUUUAGAAAAAUAUUAGAAUCACCAUGUCGAUGAACAUAUGACAAAAUAACCAAAAUAAACUCUGUAGAUCUUGAGAUGUUAUGAAAUUUUGUAUUUGGCAACUUUUUUAUUUGAGUUCAUCUUGUCAUGCAAAACCACAUUUUUAAUUGAAAAUUUUAAAUUUUGAUUUUUUGAAACAACCUCGGAUGGAAAAACUCUCUAAAUAAACUUUAUAGAUCUCAAAAAAGUUAUGAAACUUUAUAGUUGAUAAUUUUUUGUUUUGAAAUCAUCUUGUCAUGCAAAAACUACAUUUGAAUUUCUUAAAUUUGAAAAUUCUUUGCCGAGUGUUUUUCUUUCACAAUCGACAAAGACCUUCUUUGCCGAGUGUCAAAAAAGAAACACUCGGCGAAGAAAAUGUCAAAUCAAAUUUUGAAGCCUUAAACGAAUUCAAAUCUAAAAGUUUUUAACUACAAAGUUCUAUAACUUCUCAAGAUCUACAACAUUUAUUUUGAUCAUUUCUUUAUUUGACAAAGCCAAAACAAAUUUAUUUACAAAUUUUACAUCUCUGUUAUAGUGUUUGAAACUACAAGACAUAUAGAUAUAUAAGAUUUUAGAAAAAUAUUAGAAUCACCAAGUCUGAUGAACAUAUGACAAUAUAACCAAAAUAAACUCUCUAGAUCUUGAGAUGUUAAGAAAUUUUGUAUUUGGCAACUUUUUUAUUUGAGUUUAUCUUGUAAUGCAAAACCACGUUUUUAAUUGAAAAUUUUAAAUUUUGAUUUUUUAAACAACUUCGGAUGGAAAAACUCUCUAAAUAAACUUUGUAGAUCUCAAAAAGUUAUGAAACUUUGUAGUUGAUAACUUUUUGUUUUGAAAUCAUCUUGUCAUGCAAAAACUACAUUUGAUUUUCUUAAAUUUGAAAAUUCUUUGCCGAGUGUUUUUCUUUGACACUCGGCAAAGACCUUCUUUGCCGAGUGUCAAAAAUAAAACACUCAGCAAAGAAAAUUUCAAAUCGAAUAUUUAAGCCCUAAACGAAUUCAAAUUAAAAAGUUUUUAACUACAAAGUUGUAUAACUUCUCAAGAUCUACAAUAUUUAUUUUGAUCAUUUCUUUAUUUGACAAAGCCAAAACAAAUUUAUUUACAGAUUUUACAUCUCUCUCUCUUAUAGUAUAUGAAACUACACGACAGAUAUAUAAGAUAUUAGAAAAAAUAUUAGAAUCGCCAUGUCGGAUGAACAUAUGACAAAAUAACCAAAAUAAACUCUGUAGAUCUUGAGAUGUUAUGAAAUUUUGUAUUUGGCAACUUUUUUAUUUGAGUUCAUCUUGUCAUGCAAAACCGCGUUUCUAAUUGAAAAUUUUAAAUUUUGAUUUUUUGAAACAACCUCGGAUGGAAAAACUCUCUAAAUAAACUUUGUAGAUCUCAAAAAGUUAUGAAACUCUAUAGUUGAUAACUUUUUGUUUUGAAAUCAUCUUGUCAUGCAAAAACUUCAUUUGAUUUUCUUAAAUUUGAAAAUUCUUUGCUGAGCGUUUUUCUUUGACACUCGGCAAAGACCUUCUUUGCUGAGUGUCAAAAAUAAAACACUCGGCAAAGAAAAUUUCAAAUCGAAUAUUUAAGCCCUAAACGAAUUCAAAUUAAAAAGUUUUUAACUACAAAGUUGUAUAAUUUCUCAAGAUCUACAACAUUUAUUUUGAUCAUUUUUUUAUUUGACAAAGCCAAAACAAAUUUAUUUACAAAUUUUACAUCUCUCUCUUAUAGUAUAUGAAACUACAAGACAGAUAUAUAAGAUUUUAGAAAAAUAUUAGAAUCGCCAUGUCGGAUGAACAUAUGACAAAAUAACCAAAAUAAACUCUGUAGAUCUUGAGAUGUUAUGAAAUUUUGUAUUUUGCAACUUUUUUCUUUGAGUUCAUCUUGUCAUGCAGGGCUGACUGUAGCACAAAUUGGUAUCAAAGCAGGGCUGACUGUAGGACGCAAACCUAGGUAGAAACAGUCGAUUUUAGGGUUUUUAUUUUCGCUUUAUUUAUUUCACUGCUUACUUUACCUUCUUGUUAUUUUAUUAAAAUUAUAUACUCUUACCCACUGUUCUAUUUAUGUAAAUAUAUUGAUUCUAAUUCUUAAAAUAAAAUUUAUAGAUGCCUCGUCGCAGCGCAGCCGCGUACCGUGCCCUCUUCAUCGCCGCCCGUGCUCCGCCAGUUGCACCAGCACCAACCCCAGUACCUGCACCUGUACCAGCACCAGCACCUGUACCUGAGCCCGAGGUCGUCGCCUCUGGCGGCGGCGAGGAGGAGGAGCCUAUGGACACGGGGUCCCCUACGCCUACACCUUCAGCUCCUACACCGGUGGCGGAACCGAUUCCACAGGCUGCCGCUCCUGUUCCACCUGCACCACCUGCGCCUGCACCACCUACGCCUGCACCCCAUGCGUCGACGGGUUCAGCACCGACGCCUCAGUACCCACAGGUUGUUCCGGAGAUGGGAUGGACCUCCAGGAACAAGUUCAUGGUGGCUAACGAGGACGCUCACUACCACACUCUGCUCACGAGUGUGUUGGCGAGCUACUACCCGAGUUUGCUGCCACCGUCCGCUACCUUUGCUCGGAGCACAAGCAUCCGUUAGAGAACACCUACUCGAAGGCCGAGGUGAUCAUCACAGCUCGGAACAACGUCGACAACUCGGAUGAGGUGGAGUCCAUCCACGAGAGCAGGGUUAGACGUGCUUCCGCCUACGAGAGCAUGGAGGAUGCAGCUCAGGCCGCGUACUUUCACUACCAUGGCUGCCGUUUUGAGGCCAUGCAGGAGGAUAGGUACCGGUUCCUUCCCCGCAACGACCCAGAUGGCAGGACAUGGCAUGUCCUGGCACCUCCUGCCGGUGACCCUACCCUGGAUACGACUGUGAGACACGUUAGUGUCAUUCAGGAGAUGAAUGUGGCACUGAGGCAGGAGCUGCGUGUUGCACAGCAGGCGGGGAAGCACCUCCAGCGUCAGGUGGAUGAGCUGCGUGGUCAGCUUGGACAGCCACCCAUCUACAAGAAGAAGCCCCGUAAGUUCGUUCUGAGCUCCCUAGAUUUUCCAGUACCUUCUUUAGACGCUAGCACGAGUAAUUCAGUAAUGUGUGGCAUGUGAACUUUAGUGUGUUGCUAUUUGUGUUGAUGAACAAUGAUGAUUUGGAGUUUUGUUUGAUUGUGGAAACAUGUGGGCCUGUCCGCAUGUUUCUAAACCUUAAUCUUAGAAGUACAUGUUGUUUACAUUGGAGGUUGGGUUACUUUAUCUUGUCUCAGUCAUGCUGUUUCUGGAGCAGUCUGUGAUGUUUAUUUAGUAUCUCAUUAUCGGUUCAGUCAAAAAUUACAAAAUUUUUAUGGUGAAAGCUAGACUGGUAUAUCUUUCAUCUCCAACUGGAAUCACCUCAUUAUCUGUUCGGAUCUAGGAGAUAUGUCCGUUUUAAUCUGUUGUACCUGCGCAGACUGGGAUUCAGAGCAGAACCUGAUAAACCACAAUUUUGAUUAUGUUACUGAUGCAAUCAGUAAAUGUGGUCUGAAUAAAGUUUGUAGAGAAUUUCUUAACCUUUCCAGCGAUGUAUACCAUGUUCCUAUUGGAUCUAUAGAUUCUGAGAUAAGCAUGGAUUACGGACCUGCUGAGUUUGAAACUUGUCUAGAAAACUGCUAGACUUGUUUUUAUUUAUUAUAAGCGAUGAAUAAUUAUUUUGGAAGAUCACUAAAAGCCGUGAAUCUUUGUUGGAAGCAGAUGGACGCCGAAGGAGCAGCCGCUGAUCGUGGACGUGGCCGUGGCCAUGGUCGUGGCCGUGGACGUGGUGUACCUGAGAAUCCACCACCACCACCGCCGCCGAUGGCUAUUGAGCAACUCAUGGGUAUGCAAGCUAAUCUGAUGCAAGCCAUGAUGAACCAUAUGAACAAUGAACCAGUGGCAGCACCACCGCCUGUUCAAAUCCGUGACAAGCGUGGGGAGUUCUUGAAAGGACGUCCCCCGGUGUUCACCCAUGCCUCUGAUCCACUAGAGGCAGACGACUGGUUAAAAGCAGUCGAGAAGCAGCUGAACAUAGCCCAAUGCAGCGACCUAGAGAAAGUGUUGUACGCAUCAGGCCAGCUGCAAGGACCUGCAAAGGAGUGGUGGGAGUCCUAUCAAUAUGGACGCCCGAACAACGCUCCGCCAGUCACCUGGAAGGAGUUUACGGAAGGAUUCAGGUCCCAUCAUAUUCCAGAGAGCCUGAUAGAACUGAAAGCGGAAGAGUUCCGGUCUCUCAAGCAGGGAUCGAUGUUAGUCAGCGAGUAUCAUGAUAAGUUUGCUCAACUGUCACGAUAUGCUCCAUAUGAGGUGGCCAGGGACUCUGACAAGCAGCGUCUCUUCCUAAAGGGUUUGUAUGAUGGACUGCAGCUGCAGCUGAUGAGCAACACCUACCCUUGUUUUCAAGAAUUGGUGAACCGCGCUAUUGUCAUCGACAACAAGCGCAAGGAGAUGGAUGCAAAGAAGAGAAAGCUCCAGGGGCAACCGUCGGGCAGCAACACUCGCCCACGUGCGUACCCUCAGCAGGGAUUUCCUCAGCGCAGUCAAGGACCGCCGAAUCAGUGGAAUCGUGGUCAGUUUCCACAGCGUCCUCAGUACCACCAGCAGUACAGCCACCAGAACCAACAACGCCCCCAACAGCAGUAUGGCAAUCAGAGUCAGCAGCGCCCCCAACAAUAGGUCAGCAACCAAGCACCACGCCAAGGAGCGCCCAACAAUGCUCCUGGCAAGAGUGCAGCACCCAGCGGAAAUCCCAAUGCUUGUCACCGCUGCGGAGAUGUGGGACACUAUGCAUACCAGUGCCCCAAGAAGCAGAAUCCACCGGCUCAGCAAAACCAGAACAGCAAUCAGAGGCCUGCUCGACCUUCGUUCUCUGGGAAAGUGAACCAUGUGUCCACUGACACAGCUCAGGAAGCACCUGAGGUUAUGAUGGGUACGUUCAACAUCAACUCCAUCCCCGCUACAGUACUGUUUGAUUCUGGUGCUUCACAUUCUUUUAUCUCCCAAGCUUUUGUUAGAGUGCAUAGCAUCCCACUUUGUGCUCUGAAAAAUUCCAUGCUAGUAAAUUCACCGGGAGGCACCAUGCCAGCUAAUUACUGGAGCCCCUCCACUAGUAUAUCCUUAAGGGGGGUAGAUUUUAAGGUGAAACCUAUUGUGCUAAGAAAUAGCUUAAGGAAUUGCAAGAAAAAGGGUUUAUUCAUCCUAGUUCUUCACCCUGGGGUGCACCGGUAAUCUUUGUUGAUAAGAAAGAUGGCACUAGGAGGAUGUGUGUGGAUUAUCGGUCAUUAAAUGAAGUCACUAUUAAAAACAAGUACCCACUGCCUAGAAUAGAUUACUUAUUUGACCAACUGAAAGGACCAUGUGUGUUCUCCAAAAUUGACCUCUGAUCUGACAUACCUAAGACAGCUUUUACCACAAGGUAUGGCUUGUAUGAGUAUACAGUCAUGUCAUUUGGGCUGACCAAUGCACCUGCAUACUUCAUGUAUAUGAUGAACAAGGUGUUCAUGGAGUAUUUGGAUAAGUUCAUGGUAGUAUUCAUUGAUGAUAUAUUAAUCUUCUCCAAAACCAAAGAAGAACAUGCUGAACACUAGAGACUGGUCUUGCAAAAGCUUAGAGAGAAUAAAUUGUAUGUCAAGAAAAGCAAGUGUGAGUUUUGGUUGGAUGAGGUCUCAUUUUUGGGACAUGUGGUCUCUGACGGUGGAAUAGCCGUAGACCCCAGCAAAGUGCUGGAUGUGGUAAAUUGGAAGCCUCCAACCAAUGCUAGUGAGAUCCGUAGCUUUUUGGGACUAGCUGGUUAUUAUAGGAGAUUUAUUGAAGGUUUCUCCAAGUUAGCAAAGCGCAUGACAGCCCUACUAGAGAAGAGUGCCAAAUUUAUUUGGUCAGAUAAGUGCCAAGAAAAUUUUGAGGAGCUAAAGAAAAGGUUGACCACAGCCCCAGUGUUGACCUUACCAGAUCUGAGCAAAACCUUCUCUAUUUAUUGCGAUGCAUCUCGCCUAGGCCUUGGAUGUGUGCUUAUGCAAGAAGGAAGAGUAGUGGCCUAUGCAUCCAGGCAGUUGAGAAAACAUGAGCUGAACUAUCCUACUCAUGAUUUGGAGCUAGCUGUUGUGGUUCAUGCUCUAAAGAUUUGGAGGCAUUAUCUAAUUGGGCACAAUUGUGAUAUUUAUACGGAUCACAAAAGUUUGAAGUAUAUUUUCACACAGUCGGACCUGAACCUAAGGCAAUGCCGUUGGCUAGAAUUAAUAAAGGAUUAUGAUCUGGAAGUGCAUUACCAUCCCGGGAAGGCAAACGUUGUUGCCGAUGCACUUAGUCGAAAGAGCUAUGCCAAUGGGCUGCAAUUGACCUUCAUUCCCACAGAGUUGUUAGCUGAAAUAGAGCAUCUCAAUUUGGGUUUAGUGAACAACAUUGUUGAAUUGGAGUUAGAGCCCACCCUAUAGCAAGAAAUCCGCAAAGGUCAGUCGGAGGAUGAGAAAUUAAAAGAAAUUUCAGAGAAUGUAGUGCUUGGAGAAGCACCAGGUUUCAGGUUGGAUGAGAAUGGUACACUAUGGUUUGGGAAGAGAAUAUGUGUGCCCGAAGUGAAAUACAUCCGAGAUGCAAUCCUGCGUGAAGCACAUGACUCUGCAUAUUCAAUUCACCCCGGAAGCACCAAGAUGUAUCUAGAUCUUAAAGAAAAAUAUUGGUGGUAUGGAUUAAAGAGAGAUGUGGAAGAGUAUGUAGCGUUAUGUGAUACUUGUCAGAGGGUGAAAGCCGAGCACCAAAGACCUACAGGGUUGUUGCAACCAAUGCAAGUACCUGAAUGGAAAUGGGAAGAAGUAGGUAUGGAUUUCAUCACUGGAUUGCCCCGCACUCAGCGUGGGUAUGAUUCAAUUUGGGUAAUAGUGGAUCGACUCACUAAAGUUGCUCACUUUUUGCCCGUUAAUACCAACUAUGAUGGAGCAAAGUUGGCAAAAUUAUAUAUGGAUAGAAUCAUGAGUCUGCACGGAGUUUCGAAGAAGAUUGUGUCUGAUCGGGGUACACAGUUCACAUCACAGUUUUGGCAUAAAGUAAAUGAAUCGUUGGGAACAAAGUUGAACUUUAGUUCCGCGUAUCAUCCCCAAACCGAUGGGCAGACUGAAAGAGUAAAUCUGAUUUUAGAAGACAUGUUGAGAGCAUGUGCGUUACAGUAUGGUACCGGUUGGGACACUAGUUUACCAUAUGCUGAAUUUUCAUAUAAUAAUAGUUACCAGAGAAGUCUCGAUAUGUCACCGUUUGAAGCAUUGUAUGGGCGGAAAUGUAGAAUGUUGGGUAUUCUUAACAUCAUUACCAAAAGUAGACUAAGUUCUCUAAAUCUAGUAACGGUGCCAAAAAUGCCAAACCUAUCCCACACACCACUUAAGCCAAGUUGUCAUCCCCAGCAUGACAUAAGAGACGCGGUAUUGAAAUAUGCAAUUGCUCUUCUAAAUAAAUAAUGAAUGGGAUCUGCAAGCGCACAGACUAAUACCGAUGUAGCAUUUUAACCGGGAAGUAUUCCAGGUAUCGUUAUUUAUAUUUUUACCACUGGGAAGGGAUUAACAAUCAUCAAUAUUGAUUACAGAAUAGAAUAUAAGAUUGAGCAUCUAUCAUUGCAUGUAUAAUUGAGAACAUUAUAUCUAACUCUUCAUACAGGGAUAAGUGUCACAUAAAAGAUAUAUGAAAUAAUGAUAGUGACAAGGAUAACUAGUCUGAUCUAGCCACAUAAUAAAUAUGAUAAGCACCUCAAUUAGAUACUCUAGAAAGUCAUUAGCAUUGUAUUAGAACGAACUACAAGAAUAUUCCCUAAGUUAUUCUUAACUAUAUAGUCUAGCAUUAUCAUAAUUAGUGCAAGCAUACUUAGCAAUCAUUGCGAGACAAGACUACGCCCAUGCAAAGUGAUUUUAGCAAGGAAUAUGAGAAACAUAGCAAUCACUCCCCUGUAAUAAUAUUGCUCUGCCAGCCCAAUACACGAGAGGGGGACUAUAUAAGAAUCAAUGAAGCUGUCACUAUCAUGAACCACCCCACGAUCUGGCAUAUUGGGUACAAUCGCAGAUAAAUACGGUAUAAGCACCACGCCUACACAAUAUCUAUCAUUUACCCAUGGAUCCGAUGGAUAAACGCUAUACGAUCCUAAGAAUGUAUAUAGAUCCAAUCUAACUAAGCCAAGUACAUAACUAUGAUAAACUAAGAACAAUAUAAUCUUGAAUAUAAGCAAGUAAAGCAAAGUCAUAAGCAAUAUAUUGAAGUAGAACAAAGUCAUAUUCAUAAUAUUGAAGAACAAAGAUAAUUAGAAAGCAAUUAGAAGCACAAUUAGAAAUUUACCAAGAAUCCUCCUGACAGAUCCGGAAACCAAUCGAAGAUUGACUCCUUCUAGUUCUAAUCCUAUGUAGCUAUACUAAUCUAGAUAUCUAAUUGAUGUGGUGGCUCUAAUCUUGAUCAGAGGCUUCUUCUCCCUUGAGGAAUAAUGAAUUAGGGUUGAGAGGCUCUCUCCUCCAGGGGCCAGGGGGUCUGGUUUUAUAGUCCCUUCAAGUGAAUAUGAGCCAUUGGAUCAAACCGACAUAGAUUGUAUGGUUUAGAUUCAUCCUUUAGGUCGGUGGAGAUCUCCGACGAAGCAGAGUCCUAAUUGGACUCCCUGAGGGGGCGGGCGCCCAGGGCAGGAGGGCGGGCGCCCUGCCUGUGGCCCCAUUUCGCCUCUGCUUCGGUCUCGUGGCUUCUGGAGUCUUCUAGAUGUAAGAUAAUUGCGCGGCAUGUUAAUAUCUCUAUGUAAUCCCGACGUGUGGGCCUUUCUUCCAUAUUUCCUGAUAACCCCCUGCAGAAAUAGACAAACACCAAAACUCGUGGAAUUCUAUCAGAUAAAACCCUAAGUCUAGAUGUUGAUUUCAUUUGGAUCCUUUUCUUUAUUUAUUUGAUAAUUAAAUUUGAUUCUUAAGGACCGUCAACAAACUCCCCCAAGCUUACCUCUUGCUCGUCCCUGAGCAAGGAUAGACUCAGCUAUGGAUUAUAAGUUGUUGCAAUAUUUUUAAAAUUUGACGGUACACAUGCUUUUUAAAUAAGAUCUCAUCUCUGAGUUAGAGUAAACUGUCAAGACUUAAAACUUACUUACUUUACCCUCACCAUGUGACUUGUAACCGUCACUUCUAUCUUGAGUAGUUAAAAGAUAGAACAGUCUAGCCAAGUGUCAUGUCUCUUAUUCUCGAUCAGCUAUAGCUCUGGGUUUUUUGCAGAUUUUCAAAUAAAACUCAGAGAUUCCUUGUAUGAUUCUCUAAAUCUCUCUUUUGUGGUAUUUCUGGAUCCUUACCAAGGCAGUGAUGGUAUAUGCCUUCUCUCAAUAUAUGUAGUAUUUAUGGUAUACAGCAUAAUAACAUUGCCUUCUCUCUCACCCUACUCUAAUAAGGCUUUAAUAUCUGGAGCUCAUAGGUGGGAGAUAAAGUAUACAUACUUACAAGACAUUUAUUGCAUAGUCAAACCAUGGAUCCAAAGAAACAAAUCAAUAAGUUUAAUCAAGAUGUGCAUGUGUGGCGAAUGAAUGGUGUAUGGUGAUAAUGGUGAUAACAAUGGUGAAAACAAUGGUGUUGGAAGUCUAAUUCUACUUUGCUCUUUGAGGGGAUACAUACCUUCCUUGCUUUUUGAAACUUUAUGAGGAGAAUGAGAUGCUCUUCUUUUUCUUUUCUCUCAGGUGGGUAUCUUGUACCCCUAAUUCUACUGUCGGACACUUGUCCAUUUUUACCUCUCGUCUCAAUUUUUCUUUUCUUUCGAGGUUCCGAGCACUUGCUCCUUUUUAUUUCCUCGUAUUUAUUUUUCUCUUCUUUUUUUUAGAGCACUCAUCUCUUGAGAUAAUAUAGCAAGUGGUAGUAACAAGAUAACUUGAGCAUUUAUUUCACAAGGGAAAACAGAAAUAUUUUUGGUUAUUCUCUCCCGGAUCAGGAGUAGAAUAUUUUUGGGUGAUUCUGGAGAUGGAAAUGGAUGGAUAUAUGUGGAUGGUACUUCCGGAGUAGAAAUAACAUAUAUGAGUGAACGUGCAAGUGAAAUCUUGAUUUAACCACAUGACAAGCUCCUAAGGGUCCACACAGCUUGACCACACUCAAUGCUCAUAAGCAGUAAAUAGUAAAUGUGUGGCUCAAAGUCUAGCAAGCAUGUAUAUAUGGCUGUGGUAGGAAUUUAAACUCUCAUCAUACAGGAACUCAUCAUGCAACAUUUUUAAUGAUUUUCAAAGAUAAAAUUCUCCAGAAUUCUAGCAUCUCUAGGAACAGAUAAACAGCAGCUCAACCUUCCCAUAUCGUAUCCGUUAACAACUUAGACUUUAGAUCAAGUUUUCAUCCCACAAGUUUAGGUCUAGAGCAAGCUUUAAAUUAUAACAGUUAUGUCUAAACUUGAGAGAGAACUUAAAAUUUGCAAAUUAGGCAGAGCAACUAUUCAUCAUAUCCAUGCUUAAGUUUUAUUAUUAAGAUACAGAUUAGCAUAGCC
rnacentral:lncRNA from 1 species